AUUGAACGCUGGCGGCAUGCCUUACACAUGCAAGUCGAACGGCAGCACGGGUGCUUGCACCUGGUGGCGAGUGGCGAACGGGUGAGUAAUACAUCGGAACGUACCUUAUCGUGGGGAUAACGCAGCGAAAGCUGUGCUAAUACCGCAUACGCCCUGAGGGGGAAAGCGGGGGAUCGCAAGACCUCGCGCGAUUAGAGCGGCCGAUGCCUGAUUAGCUUGUUGGUGGGGUAAAAGCCCACCAAGGCGACGAUCAGUAGCUGGUCUGAGAGGACGAUCAGCCACACUGGGACUGAGACACGGCCCAGACUCCUACGGGAGGCAGCAGUGGGGAAUUUUGACAAUGGGGGCAACCCUGAUCCAGCAAUGCCGCGUGAGUGAAGAAGGCCUUCGGGUUGUAAAGCUCUUUUGUCAGGGAAGAAACACCGGCUCUAACACAGUCCGGGAAUGACGGUACCUGGAGAAUAAGCACCGGCUAACUACGUGCCAGCAGCCGCAGUAA
rnacentral:rRNA from 1 species